UGGGGAAUAUUGCACAAUGGGCGCAAGCCUGAUGCAGCCAUGCCGCGUGUAUGAAGAAGGCCUUCGGGUUGUAAAGUACUUUCAGCGAGGAGGAAGGCGUUGUGGUUAAUAACCGCAACGAUUGACGUUACUCGCAGAAGAAGCACCGGCUAACUCCGUGCCAGCAGCCGCGGUAAUACGGAGGGUGCAAGCGUUAAUCGGAAUUACUGGGCGUAAAGCGCACGCAGGCGGUCUGUCAAGUCGGAUGUGAAAUCCCCGGGCUCAACCUGGGAACUGCAUCCGAAACUGGCAGGCUAGAGUCUUGUAGAGGGGGGUAGAAUUCCAGGUGUAGCGGUGAAAUGAGUAGAGAUCUGGAGGAAUACCGGUGGCGAAGGCGGCCCCCUGGACAAAGACUGACGCUCAGGUGCGAAAGCGUGGGGAGCAAACA
rnacentral:rRNA from 1 species